GCCCCGCAGGGGAGCGGCAGACAGGUGAGUAACGCGUGGGAACAUACCCUUUGGUUCGGAAUAACUCAGGGAAACUUGAGCUAAUACCGGAUACGUCCGUAAGGAGNNAGAUUUAUCGCCAAAGNNNNGGCCCGCNNNNGAUUAGCUAGUUGGUGAGGUAACGGCUCACCAAGGCUACGAUCGGUAGCUGGUCUGAGAGGAUGAUCAGCCACAUUGGGACUGAGACACGGCCCAAACUUCUACGGGAGGCAGCAGUGGGGAAUAUUGGACAAUGGGCGCAAGCCUGAUCCAGCCAUGCCGCGUGAGUGAUGAAGGCCUUAGGGUUGUAAAGCUCUUUUGUCCGGGAAGAUAAUGACUGUACCGGGAGAAUAAGCCCCGGCUAACUACGUGCCAGCAGCCGCGGUAAUACGAAGGGGGCUAGCGUUGUUCGGGAUCACUGGGCGUAAAGCGCACGUAGGCGGACCGUUAAGUCGGAGGUGAAAGCCUGGGGCUCAACCCCAGAACUGCCUUCGAUACUGGCGGUCUUGAGUAUGGUAGAGGUUGGUGGAACUCCGAGUGUAGAGGUGAAAUUCGUAGAUACUCGGAAGAACACCAGUGGCGAAGGCGGCCAACUGGACCAUUACUGACGCUGAGGUGCGAAAGCGUGGGGAGCAAACAGGAUUAGAUACCCAGGUAGUCCACGCUGUAAACGAUGAGAGCUAGCCGUUGGGGUGCAUGCACCUCAGUGGCGCNNNUAACGCGUUAAGCUCUCCG
rnacentral:rRNA from 1 species